UUUGAUACAAUUGUUACAACCAAAUGAAUAAGCAUCACUAAUGUGCACUAUUUUUCAUAGAUUUAUAUAUGGAUUCAUGUACAAAGACGAAGAGCAACAAUUUAGUAGCAAGUUGAUACAUAAAUUCAUAAUGAGGAUUGUGAACUCUGGCAAAAACAAUGAAGUGUGGGUAAGAUUUGAUGACCAUCUUGCCCGUUUUGGAAUGCAAGAAUUUUGUUUAAUCCCUGGAUUACCUUGCCACAAAGCAUCUGUUAAUCUUGACGGUAGUAAUCCUCGACUUAGAAACCAGUAUGUCAAUGGUGUGAAAAGGAUUUCUAUGAGAAUGCUUCAUGAUGUCUUCCAUUCAUGUGAAGAUCUAGAAGAUAAGUUGAAACUUGGAUUGGUUAUGUUGAUAGAGUGUUCUCAAACCAAUUAAAAGACACAUUGAUUACAGAAUACUAGAUAUGGUUGAGUAGCUUGAUGAUUUUCUUUUGUAUCCAUGGGGCUGGAAGGCAUACUUUGCUCUGUUGAAUUCAUUGCAACAAUCACACCUCGAAAGAAUAUAUAGAAUGCAACAAACUGAGCAAAGGGAGUGUAAAUAUACGCUACAUGGAUAUCAUCUUACUUUUCAGUUUUGGAUAUACGAAACAUUCCCAAGAUUUGGAAGAAAUUUGGACACCGGAGAUACAAAACAUUACAAAUUUCAAGAAUACAUAAAUGGAAGCCGAAGCGAAUAUUGACAGACAAAAUUGUAAAACAAUAUUUGACGACACACGAGAACAGAUGGAAGAGAUGUUUAGUACACAUAGGCAAUAUGCAUCUGGUGUUUGCAAUAACUUGAAGGCACACAUGGUUGAAGAAUCAAGAAAACAACAUGUUGAAUAUCUUGAAAACCAGAAGCAAAUAUUUGAAGAACAGCAAAAAUGACACCAACAUCAAUAUCAAAAGCUGCACUCUACCUUCCAAUCUUGUAUGCAAUCUGCAUCAUAUGUGGAUACUCAAGCUUUCUGCCAGGAUUUUUUUUGGUACACAUAUGGCUGAAGAAUCAAGAACACAAUAAGCUCAUUAUCAAGCAAUUUUUGAUAAUUAGAAAGAAUUCUUUCAGCGACAACAAAAGUAGUAGGAAGAUCACUAUCAGAGAAUGCAAUCUCACAUGAAAUCUUAUGUGGACAACAUUUUAACUUCAGUGAGAUCUUACAUUGAUGAACAGAACAACGUGAUGAAUAGAAUGGGUGAUUGGGAAUCAAAUAUGGAAGCUAUUGUUGCUUGUUUAUGGCAAGAUACUCCUGGCUAGAGCAAUAAAAUUCGUGGCAAGAAAGCAAGACUUGAACAAACUCAACCGGAAAUGUCCACAAAAGAGAAGUAUAAUACGAAGAUAAAAUCUUCAAGUUAUCCUCUAGAGGACUAUUUUAUGGAGAGGUAUUCAACAAUUAGAGAUUGGGUGAUGCUAAAUAAGUUGGGUAAAAAAUCUAAUUCUAACUUGUUAAUUACAUUGCAUUCAUUUAACACUAAUCUAAACUAUGAUAUACAAUACGUAUUGGGAUUUUUGAGGCAAUAUGUAUGGAAGAGACAUGAUAAAAAAAUAAUGAAUGAAGACAAAGAUAUCAGUAUUGCGGUUAGUGAAGCUUACACAUCAUAAUUAAUUUCAGUCUACACUUGAUAUAUCUAAUUUAUGUCUAUUUAUUGUAUUAGACUAUAGAGAUGGAGUUAAAGUUGUUGAGGCGAUUGAUUAAAGAAGGCUAUACUCUCAUCUCUAAAGAAUGUGCAAUUUUGGACUUCAAUUUUGAAAACAAAUGCAUUUGGCAAAUGCUGUAACAAAGAAGU